rnacentral:lncRNA from 1 species
AAUCAAAAUUUUUAUACAUUUUCAUUGAAACAGAAAUGUUUCAAUUUUUCAUUUUUGAAUACUAUACUGUAAAGAGAUUAAUAUUUAUUCUUUUUAGAAUACGAAAUAUUGUAACAUAUGGACCACUUAGAUGAAAUUAUAUAAUUGACAUAAUUAGAUGCUAAUGGCAUUGAUGUAAGUUAGUUGUCUAUUAUUAAAUUUCUAUCAAAAUUGUAGAUAAGAAUAGAUAUUUCUUUUAUAAAAAGAUUUGAAUAGAUGAAUAUUAAUUAUUUCUUUUUUCCCUAAGAAUAUUAUCUAUUAUAAAAUCUUUACAGCCCUUCACUGUAGGAUUUCUAUCCAGACCGACAAUGAUUCUACUGUUUUUGAUAUAAAAAGGUUUGAGAUUGACUCUUGGCUGAAACUGUCGUCACGAAUCACUACGAUGAUUUUCUUCUCCUAUAUUUUGACUCUGACUCAUAUUCAGAUAUCUGAGUUACAGUCGAACUGAAUUAAAUUGGAGAGGAACAGGCCGGCGCUUUUCGUUUCGCAGUCUUCAUAAAGUUGUUGCAGAAAGAUUAUAGUUCCUAUUUCUUUUUUAUUAAUAUGGUUUUGAUCAUGAUUGAUAGAAAGGACUUAAAUCUAAUUCACUUAUAAAGUCACUUUGUUUUAUUUUUUUUUUUUUGGACACUUUUCAAGAAAUAUCAUAUUCUAUGAAACAUGGCUUCUCUGGGCUUCUAUUAAUAUAAAGAGCCAAAACAUCUGUGUCAUUCAGAAGAACGUACUAUAGCUGCAAUCCAUUUACUUAUACUUAAAAUUGGAAAGAUUGCGCCAAUGUAAACUUUCUCUUCCAACUUGUUGGCGACAGAUCUGGCUCACACUUUGGAUCAUACGCUGGUAAGUUCUGACAGAAAUAUUUUCCCGGACAUAUAUAUAUGUAAGUAAACAUAAUCCAUAAACAAAGUAUAUGGAAUAAUAAUCUAUCAGCAUCAUUAUCGUUACAUAGGAGAUUUUACGAUAUUUCUGAUAAUUUGGCUAUCAAGUCACUUGCUCAUACUAGGAUUCUAUACAUAAAGCUAUACUCCGCACAAUUUCUAUAUAGAGGCGGCAAAUUUUUUUAUUGGAUUCACUUAGAUUGGACAACUAAGUGAAUUUGCUUUUUCCAACUGAGGUAAUUUUUUUCAAUUAAAUCGAAAUGGAUCUUGAAGAUUGGCCAAAAGGAGAAUGAAAUAUCUUAUCUUAUUUCUGAAUGCAUCUUUCUUAAACAUAAUCAAGAUGGAUGUGAAAUAUCAAAUAAAGCUAAGCUUUGGUCUUAUGUGGAAUCAUUUUCAACAAAUAAUAAAGGCCAUGGAGAAUAUAAGAAAAGUACUUCUGUAAAGUGAAUAAUUCUUUUUUUUCCCUAUUUUUGGCUGGUCACCAGUGUAUCAUCAAUAUGUUACGUUAAGUAUGUAGGAUGGUUUGCAAUAUAUUAUGUUCCAUAAUAAAUCCAACAUUGACUCUCUAUGAGACAUAAUAUAUCAGCUUUUAUGUAUUUUAAGUGAAGAAAUUUUAUAUAUUUUAUAUAUUUUAUGUAUUUGUCUCAGAAAUAAUCUUUCACUAUUUAUUUCAUAUAGGUAGACACUUAAUGUACUUUCCUUAUUACUAUUCAGAAUAAGAAAUUAAAUGUAUUGACAAUAUUCAAUAAUGCUACCACUGCAAUCUCAUCUGGGAUACAGUCAAGAAAACUCUAAUAUAUUUGAUGGUAUCGAUCAUAAAGCGAUUUACUUGUAUUGACCCUCAGCCAAGUUGGAAUCUUGUUGGAACAAUUAAAAGAUUCGGGACUCCUUGAAUUUAAAAUAUGCGUCGAAUAAUUGAUGCAACUAAG